rnacentral:rRNA from 1 species
CCCGUCAACUCAUGAAAGGCAGGAGCACCUGAAGGACCUUUACCCGCAAGGGGGGGUACCACGGUGAUACUGCUGAUUGGGAGUAAGUCGUAACAAGGUAUCCGUAGGAGAACCUGCGGAUGGAACACUUCCUUACCAGGGA